GGGCCCUUAGCUUAGUUGGUAGAGCGCGACAUUUGCAAUGUCGAGGUCACCGGUUCGAGCCCGGUAGGGUCCACCA
rnacentral:tRNA from 1 species